GGAGAGUUGGCUGAGCGGUCUAUAGCAGCAGUUUACUAAACUGUCGUCCUUGAAAGAGGACCGGGGGUUCGAAUCCUCCACUCUCCGCAA
rnacentral:tRNA from 3 species